rnacentral:lncRNA from 1 species
AAUGUCAAAUGUCAUGCCAGCUGUCAUUUAUCCAGACGAAUUCGUCAAAACGAAUCAUUUAGAUUUGAGUGCAAUACUUUAGUCAAUUAUUGCGUAAAAAGUUGAUUUAAAAAAUCUUCCUAAAUUAUUCCAAACAUUACUCCAUCAAUAGUAAAUAUGUUUAAAGGCUUGAUAAUUUUUGGAGCUGGUGUGUAUACAGGGGUGUAUUUCGCCCAAAAUUAUGAGGAUGCUGUCCGACUAAUUUGUAAGAAUACUAUUCAGGAAUGUGACAAGGCCAGGGAUAAAAAAAAAUGAUUGAAAAAGUGGAAGAUCCAAAGGCAUUGUUUGAAAAAGUGCAAGCGUUUAUAAAGACAAAGUUGUCUGAAGUUAAUGAUGGAAAAAAAGGAGGGGGAAAUUGAUGGCAACUAUGUAUUUAAAUUAGGCAUGAUGAAAUGAAACAUUAAGAUUUGUACAUACUUUUAAUAGGUCUAUGUGAUGAUAAUUUAAAUAAAAUUAGUACAUACAUA